rnacentral:rRNA from 1 species
CCCUUCGAUGUUCCGGGCCGCACGCGCGCUACACUGACAAGUACAACGAGUAUAACACCUUGGCUGGGAAGUCUGGGUAAUCUUUUGAACGCUUGUCGUGAUGGGGAUAGAUGAUUGUAAUUAUUCAUCUUCAACGAGGAAUUCCUAGUAAGUGCAAGUCAUCAGCUUGCGCUGAUUUAGUCCCUGCCCUUUGUACACACCGCCCGUCGCUCCUACCGAUUGAAUGGUCCGGUGAAACCAUCGGAUUGUGGGGUCGUUUUUAUUGGUUGGUUUCGGCUGACCGAUAACGCCCGCGAAAAGUUGUUUAAACCUUACCAUUUAGAGGAAGGAGAAGUCGUAACA